rnacentral:rRNA from 1 species
GACAGCAGCAGCCACGGGAAUACAGAGGGUGCGAGCGUUAAUCGGAUUUACUGGGCGUAAAGCGUGCGUAGGCGGCUUUUUAAGUCGGAUGUGAAAUCCCUGAGCUUAACUUAGGAAUUGCAUUCGAUACUGGGAAGCUAGAGUAUGGGAGAGGAUGGUAGAAUUCCAGGUGUAGCGGUGAAAUGCGUAGAGAUCUGGAGGAAUACCGAUGGCGAAGGCAGCCAUCUGGCCUAAUACUGACGCUGAGGUACGAAAGCAUGGGGAGCAAACAGGAUUAGAUACCCCUGAGUCCCUGUCUCUUAUACA